CUACGUGCCAGCAGCCGCGGUAAUACGUAGGGGGCUAGCGUUAUCCGGAUUUACUGGGCGUAAAGGGUGCGUAGGUGGUCCUUCAAGUCGGUGGUUAAAGGCUACGGCUCAACCGUAGUAAGCCGCCGAAACUGGAGGACUUGAGUGCAGGAGAGGAAAGUGGAAUUCCCAGUGUAGCGGUGAAAUGCGUAGAUAUUGGGAGGAACACCAGUAGCGAAGGCGGCUUUCUGGACUGCAACUGACACUGAGGCACGAAAGCGUGGGUAGCGAACCGGAUUAGAUACCCGGGUAGUCCACGCCGUAAACGAUGGAUACUAGCUGUUGGAGGUAUCGACCCCUUCAGUAGCGAAGCUAACGCGUUAAGUAUCCCGCCUGUGGAGUACGGCCGCAAGGCUAAAACAUAAAGGAAUUGACGGGGACCCGCACAAGCGGUGGAUUAUGUUCUUUAAUUCGAUGAUAACCGAAGAACCUUACCAGGGCUUGACAUCCAG
rnacentral:rRNA from 1 species